rnacentral:rRNA from 1 species
UACAGAGGGUGCAAGCGUUGUUCGGAAUUACUGGGCGUAAAGCGCGUGUAGGCUGCGGUGUAAGUCGGACGUGAAAGCCUUUGGCUUAACCAAGGAAGUGCGUCCGAUACUGCGUCGCUUGAGUGUCGGAGGGGGCGGCGGAAUUCCCGGUGUAGAGGUGAAAUUCGUAGAUAUCGGGAGGAACACCUGUGGCGAAGGCGGCCGCCUGG